rnacentral:sRNA from 1 species
AAAAGGUACUUUCUUGUGUAAUAUUUCGUAAAGAACCCAAAACUCUUGCUUAAUUGUAUA